ensembl:lncRNA
CACCUCCUCCUCCUCCUAACUCCUCCUACAUCACCCCCAAACUCCUCCUCCUCCUCCUCCCUAACUCCUCCUACAUCACCCCCUAACUCCUCCUUCACCUCCUCCUCCUCCUAACUCCUCCUACAUCACCCCCUAACUCCUCCUUCACCACUCCUUAACUCCCCCUCCACCACCUCCCAUCUUUUGCUGAGUUUUAUUAUCCAUCCUUCUCAGAGGUCCGAGGAUGUUGCCUAGAGACACGCACAAACACGCCCCUUUUCCUCGGACGGCGAACUCGCCAUCUCGGUUGAACUCAGUGGUGACCGAGCAAAAUUCCGAGACAGAAUUCAAGAUGGCUGCACCCAGUGUGACUUGAAGUAUGAACUGUUUUCAUUGUGCUUGGACCACUUUGGUGGUUUAAAUGGCAAUUUCAAUCACUCGUAUUACUGCAAUACCUUACUGCGUCCGUAUCUCUGCCUAUGGCCUAUAGCCUACUUAUUUUGGAGCGCCUGGUCCUCUGCCAAUGCUAACGCGACAACAGCUUUCCGGGUGGCGCCAUGUUUUCCUUCAACGACGGUUUGCAGAGAAUACUCAAACGCAGCAUUUUCCUCCUAACUCCUCCUCCACCAUGCCCCACCUCCUCCUAACUCCUCCUCCACCACCUCCAACCUCCUCCUAACUCCUCCUCCACCUCCCUCCUCCUCCUAACCCCUCCUCCUCCACCUCACGCCUUCUCCUCCUAACUAAUCUUCUGUGGGUGGUGGUUCAGGUUUCUGGGCAGCAGACGGAGCUCCUCCACCUAACCCCACCGGCCCCCGCUGUUUCUCUGAGCUCAAACUCCCUGGACCCGCCCUCUCUGCCGAGGAAGGGGAGGAGUCUCAUGUUGCCGUGGUGAUAUCAGCGGACAGGAGAGGAAACCAAAGGGGCUACAUUUUUAUACAGACACUUUUCGUGCUCUACGACUUCGUAGAACGUGAACUACGCACUGCCAGGCUCACAGCGAUCGGACGUUCUCUGGUCAGCUACUAAACACUACAGUAGGGCUAUCUUCCUGCACUGGUCUGUUGGUCUGAGACGGUCUCUGGUCAGCUACUAAACACUACAGUAGGCCUAGGUUCCUACACUGGUCUGUUGGUCUGAGACGUUCUCUGGUCAGCUACUAAACACUACAGUAGGGCUAGGUUCCUACGCUGGUCUGUCGGUCUGUGACGGUCGGACAGCCAUGAGGCAACGCCCAGUGCCUUCGGUGUUCUUACAGGAGUUGUCGCUUCACAGCCACCUCUCCGACCAAUCAGAGGAACCGGAUACACCGGCCCAUACCCCGUGUCGGUUCUGGUUGGCUGUACGAUGUUUCAUACGAUUUCAUUGCCCUGUACGAUGAUUAAUGUCUUUUUGUUCGGAUGUACGAUGUUUAAUGUCUUUUUUUUUUUCCGGGUUAUGUUGAAUAUGUUUUUGCUCUAGGAUCUGUUCUUCAGCUCUAAAAGGUUUAAUGCUAAAUGUUAAUGUAGUGUAGCACCGUAAUAUUGCUCUAUAUGUUCUAUUGUUGCCGUAGUUACCAUGGAUUCACACUUAUCCACGAUGGGAUAUGUCGUCUGUAAUAAGUUAUGGUACUUCAACAGGGGGAUUCAUGAAUCCUAUUUCAGCAUUUGUUUGGAGACAUAAGGUUAGCUGGUGGCUAGCAAAUACUAGCCUAUCCAGUUAUACAAGUGAUCCACAAAUACCAGCGAACGCUCGGAUCAGAAAGGCUUGAGAGGAGGAAGACGAUGGGGGUGAUGAUGGUGUAAAGCUUCAGUUUGUGUAUAGUUGUGAUGUGAUUAAAUAUGUUAUUAUUUACAGCCGAUGGUACAGUCAUGUUAUUCGACACCUACACUGUUCUCCGGGCCUGCCUCAUUUUCGUAUAUUGUAUUGUUUUGCUUCCUGGUUUGGAAGCAAACAAAGCUGGGAGUUUUGUGCGGAAGUAAAGAUACCCGAGUCCUCCGGUUUCAUGUCUUAGCCUACAAACUUCUUAGGGGCGUUUUCUGAACUCUUAUUUCGGAAGAAUGGACGGUUUGCGCAAAAACAUGUCAGAGCUUCAGAACCUCGGAGCUGUUUUGAAGGCAGCAUUACAUCACGUUCUGGUUCUUUGUAUUUUCUUACUUCCUGCUUGUGUGAUGUCAUUUCCUGGUUGUUUGUGAUAUCACUUCCUGGUUCUUUGUAUUUUCCUACUUCCUGGUUGUGUGUGAUGUCACUUCCUGGUCCUGUGUUCUUUCUUCUUGGUUGUGUUGUGUAUGUGUUGGGUGCUAGUGGGAUUCACGUGAGGCAGAGGAAGUGUUUCCUAAAAUAAAAUAUAUCUUUGACUUAA